AGCGAACGCUGGCGGCAGGCCUAACACAUGCAAGUCGAACGCCCCUCUCGGGGUUAGUGGCGGGCGGGAGUGAAACACGUGAAAAUGCGCCUUUCGUCUGGGAAUAACCCAGGGAAACGUAUUAAAAUCCCGUAUGUGCCUUUCGGGGAAAAGAUUUCUCAGCAUUAGCGCGGCCCGCGGCUGUUUCGAUAGGUGGGUGAGGUAAUGGCCCACCAAGGCGACGAUCAGUAGCUGGUCUGAGAGGAUGAUCAGCCACAUUGGGACUGAGACACGGCCCAAACUCCUACGGGAGGCAGCAGUGGGGAAUCUUGCGCAAUGGGCGAAAGCCUGAUGCAGCCAUGCCGCGUGAAUGAUGAAGGUCUUAGGAUUGUAAAAUUCUUUCACCGGGGACGAUAAUGACGGUACCCGGAGAAGAAGCCCCGGCUAACUUCGUG
rnacentral:rRNA from 1 species